AGGACGAACGCUGGCGGCGCGCUUAAUACAUGCAAGUCGAGCGAGAACCGGUCCUUCGGGACCGGGGAAAGCGGCGAACGGGUGAGUAACACGUGGGUAAUCUGCCCUCGGUACUGGGAUAGCCCGGGGAAACCCGGAUUAAUACCGGAUAGCCUUUCGAGCUCUUGGGCUCGUUAGAAAAGGUGGCUUCGGCUUCCGACUGAGGAUGAGCCCGCGGCGGAUUAGCUUGUUGGUGAGGUAAUGGCUCACCAAGGCUUCGAUCCGUAGCUGGUCUGAGAGGACGAUCAGCCACACUGGGACUGAGACACGGCCCAGACUCCUACGGGAGGCAGCAGUGGGGAAUCUUGCGCAAAUGCGCGAAAGCGUGACGCAGCAAACGCCGCGUGGAGGAAGAACGGUCUUCGGAUUGGUAAAACUCCUUUCAGUUGGGACGAAAGCUCAAUGGGUUAAUAGCCCAGCGGAGUGACGGUACCUUCAGAAGAAGCCCGGCUAAACUACGUGCCAGCAAGCCGC
rnacentral:rRNA from 1 species